CCUACGGGAGGCAGCAGUGAGGAAUAUUGGUCAAUGGACGAGAGUCUGAACCAGCCAAGUAGCGUGACGGAUGACUGCCCUAUGGGUUGUAAACUUCUUUUAUAUGGGAAUAAAAUGUUCCACGUGUGGGAUUUUGUAUGUACCUUAUGAAUAAGGAUCGGCUAACUCCGUGCCAGCAGCCGCCGUAAUACGGAGGAUCCGAGCGUUAUCCGGAUUUAUUGGGUUUAAAGGAAGCGUAGGUGGGUUGUUAAUGCAGUUGUGAAAGUUUGCGGCUCAACCGUAAAAUUGCAGUUGAAACUGGCAGUCUUGAGUACAGUAGAGGUAGGCGGAAUUCGUGGUGUAGCGGUGAAAUGCUUAGAUAUCACGAAGAACUCCGAGUGCGAAGGCAGUUCACUGGACUGCAACUGACACUGAGGCUCGAAAGUGUGGGUAUCAAACAGGAUUAGAUACCCGAGUAGUC
rnacentral:rRNA from 1 species